UGAGGAGCAGACCUCUCAUCAGGUCCCCCAAAUCCCAUACGAUGUGGCUGCUGCCCUUCUCCUACAUGCUGUUCCAGCCACAUCUGCAAUCAUGAGAUGCGAGCUCCAUGAACUCAAGGAGCUCACCUGCGUUGUCUGCCGCUGUCUUCCUGGAGCCUUGGCCAUCUGGUACAUGACUCCUUUUGAAAAUGCCAGCCUGCCUCAGUAGUACCAGGAGACACCAGGGAAAGGCUUCCUUCUUUCCAAGCUGAGGCUGAGAAGGAAUGGGAAGAACGAAGAGAAGCACCUUUGUGGAGGCCUCCUCCAGCUGGCCCUGGGUUUAGGAACAUCACACACUCAACCUCCAAAGGCCCUCAGGGGCUGGCCCAAGGUCACACAGCUUGACAGUGCGGAGCACUUCGAAGCCAGGGCGUGUGGUGUAGAACAGGCUGGGUGCCUGAAUUCAAUCAGCCCUCUCUACUUCUCUACUCAGAGCCUCCCAGGCUGUGGGGUGUUCACCUGUGCACCUUCAAGCCGAUCACUUCCUUGGGGUCCUCGUCAAUUCAAUUCCAUG
rnacentral:lncRNA from 10 species